AUUGAACUCUGGCGGCAGGCCUAACACAUGCAAGUCGAACGAGUGGCGGACGGGUGAGUAAUGUCUGGGAAACUGCCUGAUGGAGGGGGAUAACUACUGGAAACGGUAGCUAAUACCGCAUACCAUCGGAUGUGCCCAAAUGGGAUUAGCUAGUAGGUGGGGUAAAGGCUGACCUAGGCGACGAUCCCUAGCUGGUCUGAGAGGAUGACGAGCAACACUGGAACUGAGACACGGUCCAGACUCCUACGGGAGGCAGCAGUGGGGAAGAUUGCACAAUGGGCGAAAGCCUGAGGCAGCCAUGCCGCGUGUGUGAAGAAGGUCUUCGGGUUGUAAAGUACUUUAAGCGGGGAGGCGUUACCAGCAGAAGAAGCACCGGCUAACUCCGUGCCAGCAGCCGCGGUAAUUC
rnacentral:rRNA from 1 species